rnacentral:rRNA from 1 species
CUGGUACCUUCGGUGCCCGAGUUGUAAUUUGGAGAGGGCAACUUUGGGGCCGUUCCUUGUCUAUGUUCCUUGGAACAGGACGUCAUAGAGGGUGAGAAUCCCGUGUGGCGAGGAGUGCGGUUCUUUGUAAAGUGCCUUCGAAGAGUCGAGUUGUUUGGGAAUGCAGCUCUAAGUGGGUGGUAAAUUCCAUCUAAAGCUAAAUAUUGGCGAGAGACCGAUAGCGAACAAGUACAGUGAUGGAAAGAUGAAAAGAACUUUGAAAAGAGAGUGAAAAAGUACGUGAAAUUGUUGAAAGGGAAGGGCAUUUGAUCAGACAUGGUGUUUUGUGCCCUCUGCUCCUUGUGGGUAGGGGAAUCUCGCAUUUCACUGGGCCAGCAUCAGUUUUGGUGGCAGGAUAAAUCCAUAGGAAUGUAGCUUGCCUCGGUAAGUAUUAUAGCCUGUGGGAAUACUGCCAGCUGGGACUGAGGACUGCGACGUAAGUCAAGGAUGCUGGCAUAAUGGUUAUAUGCCGCCCGU